rnacentral:tRNA from 1 species
GCUCCCAUCGUCUAGAGGCCUAGGACAUCGCCCUCUCACGGCGAAGACAGGGGUUCGAAUCCCCUUGGGAGUACCA